UACGAAGGGGGCUAGCGUUGUUCGGAAUUACUGGGCGUAAAGGGCGCGUAGGCGGUCCUUCAAGUCAGGCGUGAAAGCCCCGGGCUCAACCUGGGAACCGCGCUUGAGACUGGAGAACUAGAGUUCGGGAGAGGAUGGUGGAAUUCCCAGUGUAGAGGUGAAAUUCGUAGAUAUUCGGAAGAACACCAGUGGCGAAGGCGACUUACUGGACACAUAUUGACGCUGAGGUGCGAAAGCGUGGGGAGCAAACAGG
rnacentral:rRNA from 1 species